AAACUAACAAGGAUUCCCCUAGUAACGGCGAGUGAAGAGGGAAGAGCCCAAGAUUGAAAGCUGGCGUCUUCGGCGUCCGCAUUGUAAUCUCAAGAAGUGUUUUCCGCUUCGGACCAUGCCUAAGUCCCUUGGAAAAGGGCAUCAUAGAGGGUGAUAAUCCCGUACAUGGCAUGGAGCGCCCGUAGCUUUGUGAUACGCUUUCUAAGAGUCGAGUUGUUUGGGAAUGCAGCUCAAAAUGGGUGGUAAAUGCCAUCUAAGGCUAAAUAUUGGGGAGAGACCGAUAGCGAACAAGUACAGUGAUGGAAAGAUGAAAAGAACUUUGAAAAGAGAGUUAAACAGUACGUGAAAUUGCCAAAAGGGAAGGGUAGGAGGUCAGAGAUGCGUCUUGGGAUUCAGCCUUGCUUUUGCCUGGUGUUUUUCCCAAGCUGCAGGCCAACGUCGGUUUUGGGCACUGGAGAAGGGUAGGAGGAACGUGGCACCUCUCGGGGUGUGUUAUAGCCUCCUACUGGAUACAGCGACCGAGACCGAGGAACGCAGCGUACUCGUAAGAGCGGGCCUUUUGGCACCUUUACGCUUAGGGCGUUGGCAUAAUGGCCCUCUACCAC
rnacentral:rRNA from 1 species